UUUUGAAAAUUAAAUCUCGCCUUUAGAGUAAAAAAAAACUCUAUUUUUUUAGUUAUGUAGUCUGUAAUAUGAGGAAUUAGAUGUCACAAGCUAAAGUGGGGCCGCAUGGAAUGCACGCGAGAGAUGCAAGAGAGAGAAAAAAAUAAAAUCGGGAAAAUCUAAAUCGUUGAGAGAUUAUAAUCCAACAGCUGAGAAAUAGGAUAAAUUAUCAAACUAGAGAAACUUUGGCAGCUUUGGAUGCUGAGAAUGAGUAAAUGUCAAUGAAUGAGAAGGCAAACAAUUAAGGAGAAGCAACACAAAGUGAAACACAAUCUACUCAAGCAGCUACUACGGUAUUUAACUCUAAUAAACGCUUAAAGUUUGAUGUUCGGAAAGAGUUUAGACCCAUGUUAGAAGUUGUUUAGAUUUUUUCACUACUUUUGUAUUUCUGUUUUAAAUUAGAAUCUUUGAUGAAAUUCUGUUUUGUAUAAUCUUUUAAA
rnacentral:sRNA from 1 species